AACGAACGCUGGCGGCAGGCUUAACACAUGCAAGUCGAGCGCCCCGCAAGGGGAGCGGCAGACGGGUGAGUAACGCGUGGGAAUCUACCCAGUGGUACGGAACAACCCAGGGAAACUUGGGCUAAUACCGUAUAAGUCCUUCGGGAGAAAGAUUUAUCGCCAUUGGAUGAGCCCGCGUCGGAUUAGCUAGUUGGUGGGGUAACGGCCUACCAAGGCGACGAUCCGUAGCUGGUCUGAGAGGAUGAUCAGCCACACAGGGACUGAGACACGGCCCAGACUCCUACGGGAGGCAGCAGUGGGGAAUAUUGGACAAUGGGCGCAAGCCUGAUCCAGGCAUGCCGCGUGAGUGAUGAAGGCCUUAGGGUUGUAAAGCUCUUUCGGCGGGGAAGACAAUGACGGUACCCGCAGAAGAAGCCCCGGCUAACUUCGUGCCAGCAGCCGCAGUAACAC
rnacentral:rRNA from 1 species